rnacentral:ncRNA from 1 species
ACAACAGGCUUAUCGCCCCUAAAAGUUCACAUCGACGGUGCGGUUUGGCACCUCAAUGUCGGCUCAUCACAUCCUGGGGUUGGAGCAGGUCCCAAGGGUUUGCCUGUUCGCCAAUUAAAAUUGAAAGUGGGCUGGUGGGUUUGGUUGAUUUUAUACUUUAUACAAAGCCC